rnacentral:rRNA from 1 species
GUGAGGAAUUUUCCGCAAUGGGCGAAAGCCUGACGGAGCAAAGCCGCGUGAAGGAUGAAGGCCUAUGGGUUGUAAACUUCUUUUCUCAGAAAAGAAUUAUGACGGUAUCUGAGGAAUAAGCAUCGGCUAACUCUGUGCCAGCAGCCGCGGUAAGACAGAGGAUGCAAGCGUUAUCCUGAAUGAUUGGGCGUAAAGCGUCUGUAGGUUGUUUAAAAAGUAUUCUGUCAAAGAUUAGGGCUUAACCCUAGAUAGGCAGAAUAAACUUUUAAGCUAGAAUUUGUUAGAGGCAGAGGGAAUUCCCGGUGGAGCGGUGAAAUGCGUAGAUAUCGGGAGGAACACCAAAGGCGAAGGCACUCUGCUGGGCCAAUACUAACACUGAGAGACGAAAGCGAGGGGAGCAAAUGGGAUUAGAAACCCUAGUAGUCC